UUGACCAUGCUAACAAUUUUUAAUUGACAUAUUUUAAAUGCAACAUACAGGCAUUGCAGGUUGAUAAUUUUUUUUUAAAGAGGUUGAUAAUUUGGAACCCAAAAUAACACUUUUUGCACCUGAAUCAUGUUACCAUCAGUUUGCUAUUGAAGCAAAUAGAAAUUGCAUUAUUGGACUGUCAGUCUCCAAGGAAGGAUGAAAUUCAUCUAUUCCAUAAUCUUGUUGUCUAUGGAUUACUGCAGUCAGACUAACUUUUGGUAGUUAUAUUUCUAAUAUUUGAGGAUUUAAGAAUCCAAUCUUAAAUGUGACUACAAUGCAUUAUUCCAGAGACUGAAAUGUUACCCCUCUCCCUGACAUAAUCCCAACCACAGGCUCAGAGAUGCUGCUUUACUCCCUUUUCCCAGAUGGUGUUAGUGGUUUUGUUUUGAAGGAAUUGCUCCAUAUUUAGCUUUUUUUUUU
rnacentral:lncRNA from 1 species